UGGUGGAAACGGGACAUCUUGACUGU
rnacentral:piRNA from 1 species